UACAGAGGUGGCAAGCGUUGUUCGGAAUUACUGGGCGUAAAGGGCGCGUAGGUGGCCUUCUUAGUCAGACGUGAAAUCCCCGGGCUUAACUCGGGAACUGCGUCUGAUACUGGAAGGCUGGAGUUCGGGAGAGGAAUGUGGAAUUCCAGGUGUAGCGGUGAAAUGCGUAGAUAUCUGGAGGAACACCGGUGGCGAAGGCGGGUCUCUGGGCCGAUACUGACGCUGAGGAGCGAAAGCGUGGGGAGCGAACAGG
rnacentral:rRNA from 1 species